GGAGGGUAUGCUCAGUGGUAGAGCACAUGCUUAGCAUGCACAAGGUCCUGGGUUCAAUCCCCAGUUACUCCU
rnacentral:tRNA from 1 species